rnacentral:tmRNA from 1 species
GCCCUUUUCAUUGGACCCGACGCACCCUAUAUUGGGUGUGCUGCGCAAGCAGCUAUGACAAUAAACGAGCGUUGAAAUAAACCAUUCGGACCCGGGGGCGGUACCCGGCGCCUCCACCAUGAUCCGGCGACAGGCCGUAACGGCCACAAGGCCGGAUGAUGAUGGGGGCGAAACAGGAUCGACGAGGGUGUAAAGAGCGGCUUUUUGUUCGGUAUUGUACCACCGUUAUCGGGCUAAACUUGUAGUUGCAAAUGACAACUAUGCGGAAGCUCGUCUCGCUGCUUAAUUGCGGUGUGACACUUCAAAUCAAGUCCUAGAGGGUCGCACUUCUAGGCGGGGUUCGGAGGUACCUGGCAACAGAAACCUCCACU